rnacentral:snRNA from 1 species
UUGAAAAUCCGGAGGACCGAG